rnacentral:rRNA from 1 species
GAAAGAUGGUUCUGCUAUCACUCUUGGAUGGACCUGCGGUGCAUUAGCUAGUUGGUAAGGUAACGGCUUACCAAGGCAAUGAUGCAUAGCCGAGUUGAGAGACUGAUCGGCCACAUUGGGACUGAGACACGGCCCAAACUCCUACGGGAGGCAGCAGUAGGGAAUCUUCCACAAUGGACGAAAGUCUGAUGGAGCAACGCCGCGUGAGUGAAGAAGGGUUUCGGCUCGUAAAGCUCUGUUGGUAGUGAAGAAAGAUAGAGGUAGUAACUGGCCUUUAUUGACGGUAAUUACUUAGAAAGUCACGGCUAACUACGUGCCAGCAGCCGCGGUAAUACGUAGGUGGCAAGCGUUGUCCGGAUUUAUUGGGCGUAAAGCGAGUGCAGGCGGUUCAAUAAGUCUGAUGUGAAAGCCUUCGGCUCAACCGGAGAAUUGCAUCAGAAACUGUUGAACUUGAGUGCAGAAGAGGAGAGUGGAACUCCAUGUGUAGCAGUGGAAUGCGUAGAUAUAUGGAAGAACACCAGUGGCGAAGGCGGCUCUCUGGUCUGCAACUGACGCUGAGGCUCGAAAGCAUGGGUAGCGAACAGGAUUAGAUACCCUGGUAGUCCAUGCCGUAAACGAUGAGUGCUAAGUGUUGGGAGGUUUCCGCCUCUCA